rnacentral:lncRNA from 1 species
UCCCCCCUGCCAUAAUGAUGGCCCCUCUCCGCACCUCACCCCCCCCGUGAGGUUUUUCUCCUCUUGUCAUUGCAGAUGACGCCUCCAGUCGCCCAGUCGAGCCCGCCUGAGUCUGCCCCUCCUGCACCAUCACCCGCAGGGACCACGCCAGCUCUCUCCCGCCGCGAGCGACGUCGACGUCGUCUUCUUGUCCGCCGCUUGAGCCGUCUCUCCCUCGAAGAUGCCUCCAUCGAGCAGCAAAUUCUCCAGCUUCUCCAUCGUGCUCGCGCCUCCCCUGCCCCGCGCCCUCCUACCACCCCCCCCUCCUACACCUUCUCAUCUUUAUGCUCUCCUUAGCCUCCUCAGCCCAGGCCACGCCCCUUUGGGCCGCCCUUCUUCAACCGCCUGGUUUCCUCUUUCUCUCCCCUCACUCCCCCACCUUCCCCACCAUGUACUCCCCCAACUGCGACUUCCUCCCAGAAAGCUGCGACCCCUCGCCCUUCCUGUCUCCUCGUCGUUGCCAAAUGUCUCCAUCCCUAUUCCCCUCGACGCCUUGCAGUUCGUCACCAACCUUUCCCUGUGCGUAAACCCCCGCAAUAAUACGCCAAUGGAUGUUUUCCUCUUACAACACCUCCUUCCUCAACUACACCCACUCCCUCCAGCAACACAUCCUCACCCUCGAAUCCAUCAAGCCCCCAACCCUCUCAGCUUCCCUCCUUAGAGACGUGCUCCAAAAAUUCCUCUCCCUUUUCCAACCCUCCAGCCUCCUCCUCUACGCCUUCCUUUUCCUCCUUCUCCUCCUCCU